GUCUGGUUGGGGGUGGGGAGGCUGGAUUGCUCUCUCAGAGAAUGGUGAAGGAGAGAGGAAGCUGCCUUGGAGCUUUGUUUUGAGAAGGGGGUCAAGCCAGGACUGCGGGAAUGGGCAGGUACGGGAGAGAUGUGGCAGACGUGACGGAAUGCUCAAAGGGACACAGGAAGGGAAUGGAGGCAAGGAUCUGUCUCUGUGACUUCACCAGGGUCAAACGAGUUCUCUGUGCCCUCAGUUUCUCCAUUUGGGUGUAUCUUCAGGGACUCUUCUCAGUUCUACUGCACAGAAUUCUUCUCUACCUUCAAGACUUAGCUCAAGUAUCACCUUCUCCAUAAAGUCUUACCCCACCA